rnacentral:rRNA from 1 species
AGGUGAUAUGAACCGUUAUAACCGGCGAUUUCCGAAUGGGGAAACCCAGUGUGUUUCGACACACUAUCAUUAACUGAAUCCAUAGGUUAAUGAGGCGAACCGGGGGAACUGAAACAUCUAAGUACCCCGAGGAAAAGAAAUCAACCGAGAUUCCCCCAGUAGCGGCGAGCGAACGGGGAGCAGCCCAGAGCCUGAAUCAGUGUGUGUGUUAGUGGAAGCGUCUGGAAAGGCGCGCGAUACAGGGUGACAGCCCCGUACACAAAAAUGCACAUACUGUGAGCUCGAUGAGUAGGGCGGGACACGUGGUAUCCUGUCUGAAUAUGGGGGGACCAUCCUCCAAGGCUAAAUACUCCUGACUGACCGAUAGUGAACCAGUACCGUGAGGGAAAGGCGAAAAGAACCCCGGCGAGGGGAGUGAAAAAGAACCUGAAACCGUGUACGUACAAGCAGUGGGAGCCUCUUAAUGGGGUGACUGCGUACCUUUUGUAUAAUGGGUCAGCGACUUAUAUUCUGUAGCAAGGUUAACCGAAUAGGGGAGCCGAAGGGAAACCGAGUCUUAACUGGGCGUUAAGUUGCAGGGUAUAGACCCGAAACCCGGUGAUCUAGCCAUGGGCAGGUUGAAGGUUGGGUAACACUAACUGGAGGACCGAACCGACUAAUGUUGAAAAAUUAGCGGAUGACUUGUGGCUGGGGGUGAAAGGCCAAUCAAACCGGGAGAUAGCUGGUUCUCCCCGAAAGCUAUUUAGGUAGCGCCUCGUGAAUUCAUCUCCGGGGGUAGAGCACUGUUUCGGCAAGGGGGUCAUCCCGACUUACCAACCCGAUGCAAACUGCGAAUACCGGAGAAUGUUAUCACGGGAGACACACGGCGGGUGCUAACGUCCGUCGUGAAGAGGGAAACAACCCAGACCGCCAGCUAAGGUCCCAAAGUCAUGGUUAAGUGGGAAACGAUGUGGGAAGGCCCAGACAGCCAGGAUGUUGGCUUAGAAGCAGCCAUCAUUUAAAGAAAGCGUAAUAGCUCACUGGUCGAGUCGGCCUGCGCGGAAGAUGUAACGGGGCUAAACCAUGCACCGAAGCUGCGGCAGCGACACUAUGUGUUGUUGGGUAGGGGAGCGUUCUGUAAGCCUGUGAAGGUGUACUGUGAGGUAUGCUGGAGGUAUCAGAAGUGCGAAUGCUGACAUAAGUAACGAUAAAGCGGGUGAAAAGCCCGCUCGCCGGAAGACCAAGGGUUCCUGUCCAACGUUAAUCGGGGCAGGGUGAGUCGACCCCUAAGGCGAGGCCGAAAGGCGUAGUCGAUGGGAAACAGGUUAAUAUUCCUGUACUUGGUGUUACUGCGAAGGGGGGACGGAGAAGGCUAUGUUGGCCGGGCGACGGUUGUCCCGGUUUAAGCGUGUAGGCUGGUUUUCCAGGCAAAUCCGGAAAACUAAGGCUGAGGCGUGAUGACGAGGCACUACGGUGCUGAAGCAACAAAUGCCCUGCUUCCAGGAAAAGCCUCUAAGCAUCAGGUAACAUCAAAUCGUACCCCAAACCGACACAGGUGGUCAGGUAGAGAAUACCAAGGCGCUUGAGAGAACUCGGGUGAAGGAACUAGGCAAAAUGGUGCCGUAACUUCGGGAGAAGGCACGCUGAUAUGUAGGUGAAGCGACUUGCUCGUGGAGCUGAAAUCAGUCGAAGAUACCAGCUGGCUGCAACUGUUUAUUAAAAACACAGCACUGUGCAAACACGAAAGUGGACGUAUACGGUGUGACGCCUGCCCGGUGCCGGAAGGUUAAUUGAUGGGGUUAGCGGUAACGCGAAGCUCUUGAUCGAAGCCCCGGUAAACGGCGGCCGUAACUAUAACGGUCCUAAGGUAGCGAAAUUCCUUGUCGGGUAAGUUCCGACCUGCACGAAUGGCGUAAUGAUGGCCAGGCUGUCUCCACCCGAGACUCAGUGAAAUUGAACUCGCUGUGAAGAUGCAGUGUACCCGCGGCAAGACGGAAAGACCCCGUGAACCUUUACUAUAGCUUGACACUGAACAUUGAGCCUUGAUGUGUAGGAUAGGUGGGAGGCUUUGAAGUGUGGACGCCAGUCUGCAUGGAGCCGGCCUUGAAAUACCACCCUUUAAUGUUUGAUGUUCUAACGUUGGCCCCUGAUCGGGGUUGCGGACAGUGUCUGGUGGGUAGUUUGACUGGGGCGGUCUCCUCCUAAAGAGUAACGGAGGAGCACGAAGGUUGGCUAAUCCUGGUCGGACAUCAGGAGGUUAGUGCAAUGGCAUAAGCCAGCUUGACUGCGAGCGUGACGGCGCGAGCAGGUGCGAAAGCAGGUCAUAGUGAUCCGGUGGUUCUGAAUGGAAGGGCCAUCGCUCAACGGAUAAAAGGUACUCCGGGGAUAACAGGCUGAUACCGCCCAAGAGUUCAUAUCGACGGCGGUGUUUGGCACCUCGAUGUCGGCUCAUCACAUCCUGGGGCUGAAGUAGGUCCCAAGGGUAUGGCUGUUCGCCAUUUAAAGUGGUACGCGAGCUGGGUUUAGAACGUCGUGAGACAGUUCGGUCCCUAUCUGCCGUGGGCGCUGGAGAACUGAGGGGGGCUGCUCCUAGUACGAGAGGACCGGAGUGGACGCAUCACUGGUGUUCGGGUUGUCAUGCCAAUGGCACUGCCCGGUAGCUAAAUGCGGAAGAGAUAAGUGCUGAAAGCAUCUAAGCACGAAACUUGCCCCGAGAUGAGUUCUCCCUGACUCCUUGAGAGUCCUGAAGGAACGUUGAAGACGACGACGUUGAUAGGCCGGGUGUGUAAGCGCAGCGAUGCGUUGAGCUAACCGGUACUAAUGAACCGUGAGGCUUAACCUU